rnacentral:rRNA from 1 species
UACAUGGGGUGCAAACGUUGCUCGGAAUCAUUGGGCGUAAAGCGCGCGUAGGCGGUUACCUAAGUCGGAUGUGAAAGCCCCUGGCUCAACUGGGGAAGUGCACCCGAAACUGGGUAGCUAGAGUACCAAAGAGGGUCGCGGAAUUCCCGGUGUAGAGGUGAAAUUCGUAGAUAUCGGGAGGAACACCGGCGGCGAAGGCGGCGACCUGGGUGGAUACUGACGCUGAGGUGCGAAAGCGUGGGGAGCAAACAGG